UUUUGUGCUGUGACGAGACAAUUUUGUGGACUAGAGUUUCUGAUCUGGGGGUUUACUCCAGGGUUUACUCAGAAGUUGAUUAUUAACCCUUGGCUGUCUGAGCACACCC
rfam:Cajanus cajan Scaffold135370_29, whole genome shotgun sequence.